rnacentral:lncRNA from 1 species
AAUAAGUAAUUGUCCCAAGGUAAAGCGGAUUCCUCUCUAUCUUCCACAGCUUGAGGUUGAUGAUGAGGGACAACUAUCUCCUUUUAAUACUCUCUAGGAAAUCCACGUGCGGACAACAGAUUGGUGGGAAUCAGUGGAGUGGGAGCACCCUAAUCUCAAUGUUAAGAAUGUUGUUCAACCUUUGCUCAAGUUCUGCAAUCGCUACAAGUUGGAGUGGAGGCCAGCUGUU